rnacentral:tRNA from 1 species
UCCCUGAAGGACUAGUGGUUAGGCCACAGUGCUCUCACUGCUGCAGCCCGCGUUCGGUUCCCGUCCAGGGAA